CUUUAAUGUCUUCAAAAGUUCAGAAGUUGUUGCAGGCUGGAAACACACCGGAAACGGGCCACCUGAAGAUGCCAACACGACAGAAGCAACUUUGCAUAAGAACCGACACGCCACCACCGUGGCUUUCCGCGCCAUAGAUCUACUUACGGGUCAGAUUCUGAAGGGAAAACGGCCGCGUGAAGACGUCACGAUGAUAUCAUCACGGGACUUUCAGGUUGUGAUCAACAGGACCGACUGCCUCAAGUGGCUCAAUGAUGUAAACUACACCGUGCAUUUCACCAGUUUUGAAGAGGGGACCUGGUUUCGACUGCCUCCAUUGCCAGUAUUUCUGAAGGCAUACGCACGUUCAGUUUUGAACUUCAACGGUAAUAUUAGUAAGGAUCAGCUCAUGACAAGUAGGAGACACUUCUGUGAGUUAGGCAGUUUUGGAACACAGGUAAGACCAACAUUGGUACCAGUAUAUGUAUGUAAUCCUUAUGUUAUAUUCAUUCGGAGUCUGCCUUCAUGUAUAUACCUUUGAACUUAGUUUGAUUUCA